UGGACCAGUGACGAGUGUGCUAUGCACCAAGGAUGAUGAUUGAUCAAUUCUGUACACCUGAGGUCUCCU
rnacentral:snoRNA from 1 species